UCAAGAGUUUGGCUCUGAGGAGGAUAGCAAGCUUCAGGGUUGGGCGUCCACCUGCAGAACAAGCUCCAGAUCUGAAAGCACUUCAUAAUUCACUACCAGACCCUUGUUUCCUGCUGGCCCUAACUAUGAAGUGCAGUACUUACUGUUCUGCCUGCUGACCUUGAAGCCGAGAAAUCCAAGGGAGAUGGAGAGAGACAGGAGGGUGGCCGUGUCACGGAGAGCUAACCAUAUAAGAGCAUCACAUGCGAAUUCAGGAAAUGAAAGAAGAGAAGAGCCUGGGGCCCUGCCUUUAAGACCAGUCACCAUCCCCCGCACCCACACCUCCCCGCUGAGGUGAGCAGUGCUGUCAAACUGGCCGUCUCCCCAGGAGGAGGAAGCGAUCAAAGCAGAGAACAGUGGUGAGAUUGUUUCCUCCAACAUUCUCGCAAAGGCCGAGAGAAGCAGGAAUUUUCUCCCUUACAUCCUGGGUCUCAAGAGGAACUACAGUUUUAUCUGGUUCUCUCUAAGCUGCCGGGCAUUGAAGGUUGGGGAGGAGGUUCCUGGGCGAAGAAGAGGAUAUACACAGGUAUGGAGUCAUUAGUGAGUGUGGCAAGUCCAGAAAACAGUCUGUAGUGAAUUUUGUUGAAAGCAUAGUGAGUGUGCAGAGGAAGCAACAGAACGGUCUUAACAGGUGGGCAGGAACAAGACAGCGUGCCAAGACUUACUAAGUUAAAGAAAUGUGUCUGCUCUGGUUUCAAUAUCUGUGUCGUCCUCAAAUUCAUGUGUUGAAAUGCUGACCGCCACCCCAUGUGAUGGUAGUAGCAGGUGGGGUUUUGAGAGCGGAUGAGGUCGGGAGGCGGAGCCCUCACGAGUGGGAUUCAUGCCUUAUAAAAGAGGGCUCCAGAGAGAUCUCUAGCCCUUUCCACCCUGUGAGGACACAGCAAGAAGUCUGUAAUCCAGAAGAGGGUCCUCAUCCAACCAGGCCCUGAUUUAGGACACCCACCCUCCAGAACUGUGAGAAAUAAAAUUCUGUGAAUUAUAACCUA